CAGAAUAUUAACACAUUUUGCUAACUAUAUCAAAGGCUGCAUCUGAAGGAUACUACAGACCUGUGACUCUAACGUCUGUCAUUAUAAAGUUGUUUGAAAAAUCUGGUUCUGGCUUAUCUGAAGGACAUCACUGGACCCUUACUGGACCCCCUGCAGUUUGUUUACUGAGCAAACAGGUCCAUGGAUGAUGCAGUAAACAUGGGACUGCACUUCAUCCUGCAACAUUUGGACAAAACAGGGACUUAUGUGAGGAUCCUGUUUGUGGACUUUAGUUCGGCUUUCAACACUAUCAUCCCAACAGCCCUCCAGAACAAACUGACCCAGCUCUCUGUUCCUAGCUCUAUCUGUCAGUGGAUCACCAGCUUCCUGACAGAUAGGCAACAGCUAGUGAGACUGGGGAAAUUCAUGUCAAACAGCUGCUCCACCAACACUGGUGCCCCUCAGGGAUGUGUUCUCUCCCCACUGCUCUUCUCGCUGUACACCAACGACUGCACCUCAAAAGACCCCUCUGUCAAGCUCCUGAAGUUUUCAGACGACACUACAGUCAUCGGUCUCAUCCAGGACGGUGACGAAUCUGCUUACAGACAAGAGAUUGAGCAGCAGGCUGUCUGGUGCAAUCUUAACAACCUGGAGCUUAACACGCUCAAAACAGAGGAGAUGAUAGUGGACUUCAGGAGAAACCCCCCUGACCUCCCCUCACUUACCAUCAUGGACAGCACUGUGGAUGCAGUGGAGUCAUUCAGAUCCCUGGGAACCACAAUCUCUCAGAACCUGAAGUGGGACAAUCACAUUGACUCCAUUGUUAAAAAGGCCCAACAAAGGUUGUACUUCCUUCACCAGCUGAGUAUGUUUAACCUGCCACAGGAGCUGCUAAAACAGUUCUACUCAGCCGUCAUUGAGUCUGUCCUAUGCAUUUCAUUAACUGUCUGGUUUGGUUCAGCUACAAAAUUAGACAUCAGAAGACUACAGAGAACGGUUCGGACUGCUGAAAGGAUUAUUGAUGCUCCUCUGCCCACCCUUCAAGAACUGUAUACAUCCAGAGUGAGGAAAAUGGCUCAGAAAAUCACUCUGGAGCCCUUACAUCCAAGUUAUCCCCUUUUUGAACUUUUGCCAUCUGGCCG
ensembl:lncRNA